rnacentral:rRNA from 1 species
CUCUCUCCAAACAAAACUCUCGGCGCGGAAUGCGCCAAGGACUACUCAAAAAUGGAUUGCCUGCAUCUCUGCGAUUUUCGCAAAGUGUGCUAGGCAUCUUAUCGUUUAAUAAAAAGACUCUCGGCAACGGAUAUCUAGGCUCUCGCAUCGAUGAAGAACGUAGCGAAAUGCGAUACUUGGUGUGAAUUGCAGGAUCCCGUGAACCAUCGAGUUUUUGAACGCAAGUUGCGCCCGAAGCCAUUAGGUUGAGGGCACGUCUGCCUGGGCGUCACGCAUCUAGUCGCCACCCCACUCAUAAUUAAAGAGUGGAGUGACGGAUGUUGGCUUCCCGUGCUCUUGAGGCGCGGCUAGCCUAAAUUUGAGUCUUCGGCGCGAGACGUCACGACAAGUGGUGGUUGAAAUCAUCAACUCGUGUGCUGUCGUGACCACUCGUGACACGGACUCCAUCGACCCUAGAGUCCUCGACCCAAAUUUGAGUUGCGGGCCUUCGACUGCGACCCCAGGUCAGGCGGGAUACCCGC